CAGCUACUCCCUCCGUUCGGAAAUACUUGUCCUAGAAAUGGUUGUAUGUAGACUUAUUUUAGUUCUAGAUACAACCAUUUCUAAGACAAGUAUUUCCGAACGGAGAGAGUAGAUG
rnacentral:pre_miRNA from 1 species